GGCGAUAUAGCACAGUUGGUAGUGCAAACAGUAUGGAAGACAACAUCUGUUGUGUCUCUGGUUCGAGUCCAGAUAUCGCCCCA
rnacentral:tRNA from 1 species